rnacentral:tRNA from 1 species
GGUAGCAUGACCGAGCGGUCUAAGGCGCUGGAUUUAGGCUCCAGUCUCUUUGGAGGCGUGGGUUCAAAUCCCACCGCUGCCA